rnacentral:rRNA from 1 species
CCUACGGGGGGCAGCAGUGGGGAAUAUUGCACAAUGGGGGAAACCCUGAUGCAGCGACGCCGCGUGAGGGAAGAAGUAAUUCGUUAUGUAAAGCUCUAUCAGCAGGGAAGAAAAUGACGGUACCUGAGUAAGAAGCCCCGGGUAACUACGUGCCAGCAGCCGCGGGAAUACGUAGGGGGCAAGCGUUAUCCGGAUUUACUGGGGGUAAAGGGAGCGUAGACGGCAGUGCAAGUCUGGAGGGAAAGGCGGGGGCUCAACCCCCGGACUGCUCUUGAAACUGUACGGCUUGAGUGCAGGAGAGGUAAGUGGAAUGCCUGGUGUAGCGGUGAAAUGCGUAGAUAUUACGAGGAACACCAGUGGCGAAGGCAGCUUACUGGACUGUAACUGACGUUGAGGCUCGAAAGCGUGGGGAGCAAACAGGAUUAGAUACCCUUGUAGUC